rnacentral:rRNA from 1 species
GACAGAGGGUGCAAACGUUGUUCGGAAUUACUGGGCGUAAAGCGCGUGUAGGCGGCUCUGCAAGUCAGGUGUGAAAUCCCACGGCUCAACCAUGGAAGUGCACUUGAAACUGCAGGGCUAGAGUCCUGGAGAGGAAGGUGGAAUGCUUGGUGUAGAGGUGAAAUUCGUAGAUAUCAAGCGGAACACCGGUGGCGAAGGCGGCCUUCUGGACAGUGACUGACGCUGAGACGCGAAAGCGCGGGGAGCAAACAGG